rnacentral:rRNA from 1 species
CAAUAGCGUAUAUUAAAGCUGUUGCGGUUAAAAAGCUCGUAGUUGGAUUUCUGUCAAGGACAACUGGUCCGCCCUUCGGGUGAGCACAUAGUUUGGUCUUGGCAUCUUGUUGGAAACUGUUGCUGCACUUGGUUGUGUGGCGCAGCGUCCAGCACUUUCACUUUGAGGAAAUUGGAGUGUUUCAAGCAGGCACAUGCCUUUGGACACAGUAGCAUGGAAUAAUUAGAUUGGGCUUUUGCUCCAACUUGUCGGUUUCUGGAGCUGAGGUGAGAAUUAAUGGGGAUUGUUGGGGGCAUCCGAAUUUAGCCGUCAGAGGUGAAAUUCUUGGAUUUGUUAAAGACGGACAACUGCGAAAGCAUUUGCCCAAGAUGUUUUCAUUGA